GACGAACGCUGGCGGCGUGCCUAAUACAUGCAAGUCGAACGCAGUGGGGACGGGUGAGUAACACGUGGGUAACCUGCCAUCAGAGGGGAUAACACUUGGAAACAGGUGCUAAACCGAUACUGAUGGAUGGACCCGCGGUGCAUUAGCUUGUUGGUGGGGGAACGGCUCACCAAGGCCACGAGGCCUAGCGGACCUGAGAGGAUGUCCGGACACACUGGGACUGAGACACGGUCCAGACUCCGACGGUAGGCAGCAGUAGGGAAUCUUCGGCAAUGGGCGAAAGUCUGACCGAGCAACGCCGCGUGUGGGAAGAAGGUUUUCGGGUCGUAAAACUCUGUCGGUGGGGAAGCGUUAUCCAACGAGAAAGCAACGGCUAACUACGUGCCAGCAGCCGCGGUAAUAC
rnacentral:rRNA from 1 species